UUUAAAUGGAACAAGACAAGAAUGGAUUAUAUUGAUAAUAUAUAUUCUUUACUACACCAAAACAGAAUAAUACAAGCGUGGAAGAGAAGCCUUUCUUAAGGGGCUUUCAUGAUAAAUAAAUCAGAAACCAGUUCAUCAACCAUAGAAGUUAGAAGCCCCUUCUCAAUCGCUACACCCUCUUCAUAUACUUCCAUGUUGAAGUCAAGCCAUCUCCCAUACUGAGAGCUCAUGUCCUUGUCCACUAGCUCAUCCACCAUUAAGUCUCCCAUGGUUUUCCAAGCUGAGAUCUCCUUAUACAAUUCCUCUGCCAACCAUCUCUUCCUUUGACAUAACGUCCACAACUUAGUCCAUGACUUGCAGCUCCCAACAAAAGCUUGUCCACACAUGAGCUCCAACUGUUCACUAACACAAUCAAACAAAGCCUUCCGCCCAAGCUUGGAGUACUGUUCUUUAUUUCUUUUCAUUCCAUUCUUUUGAUUCUCCAACUGAUGGAAAAGAUGUGGAGUUAUGACCUUCUGGGUCUGACCCAAUGUAAAAUCUUUCAACAUUAUUUCUGCAUUGUUAAGUACAUGCCUCACAUAAUCCAGUUCCCAGUCACUUGAUCCCCUAAAUUCUGUCAAAAUGAAGGUUCUAGUGAGCUUUCUUCUCAUUUCUACUGUAAAUAUUGAAGAGGCUGAAUCAGAUAAUUCUGUCUCUCCUUCCACUUCUAAGGAUUCAUUUGCAGAGAAAUCAUUGAGCGCCUCAUCAGAUUGAACAUUGGUAUUUGAGCAACUUCCACUCUCAAAAGUGGGUUCAAGAAUUGAAACUGGACUAGGAUGUUGACAUUCAAGGUCUUUUUCAGCUUCGCUGAAAUUACUCCUGCUGUGCUGCUCCAUUUCUUCGGAUCCCUGAAACAGUUCCUAAGAAAUUAGAUACAAUUACAAACUGUCAAGAAAAACUAAUUACAUUUCAUCAAAAUUUCAAGUUGGCAUCGUGACUUUUUAUGCACUCUAUAAAUUCUGUUUCCUAAUUAUAACUUUAUUUUUUGUAAGCCAUAAUUUCUUUUUUUAUAUAUAAAAAACCAGCAAUGAAAAUUUGUGCACAAGCUAUAACUUUUAAAGCUCAUCCUAAUUAAAAAAGACUUGCAUCUACACCAGCUGAUUAUAAACUGAAUCCACGCAGCAGGACUCAAAAAAAGAACGGAAGUCAGCUAAUACUUGGCCAUAACUUCUGCUACUGUUACACCCAAAUCACUAAAGCCAGCAACUCAUAUCGUAAGACUAGAGAACGUACCAAGGUUACCAGAAGAAUAUGUCAAUACCACUACACCCAAAUGCUAGUUCUAACAGAGUGAAAUAUUGUGAACCUUAUUGGCACGUAUUCCUCCAAGUUUACCAGCUACAUCUAUAUUGGUACAUAAUAAACAAUACAGUAGAAGCAUAACACAUGCAACUCCAUUGACAAACAGAGAUGAUAACAACACUACAAAAACAUUAACGGAAGGAAAAUUGCACUUACCUCUUAACUUACUGGUUAAGAAUGACGGCUCCAUUUUUGGCCUCUGGUGGGAACAUCAACCAUUUAAAGUUCAAGUUAUUUACUGUCUUCAAUGUGUAGUACUAUUAUCAUCCUCAUUUGGGAACAAUUAUCUUGACUCUUAAUUACUAGUUUUUAGGUUUUCAAAAUGCAUCAAAAGUUGCUUUCCCACUCAAGCAUAUUUAAAUACCAAGAAGGGAGUCAUAUGAAUUACAGAAUACCCAAAAAGAAUGCUGCAAAGUAGGAUCAUAAACGUAUAAUAGACAGACCUGCAACUUUUGGUUCUUGGUAAGCUUUGGACUCUCCACUGAAAAGCAAUCAAAGUUAUCUGCGUGGUCUGACUUGUCUUUUUCGACAAGCUGAAUCUUCCUGUCUUGCGCUGCAGGAAUGGUGUUAACCACAUUGAAUGCGUACAUGGAAUUUUGAAAACUAGAUGUAGAACUAACAGAAGUCUCAUCUUUGAUUAUGUUACAUUGGGAUGAUUCAAAUUUAUUUGUUAAUUCCUGCAGCUUUUGUUCCAAAAGAACACCCAAAGCAUCACCACCAAUUAUACUCAACCCAGGAAAAGAAGACGUGGACUUUUGGAAGUAAGGAUGAUCAUUAUGGCCAAAAGAAUCAACAGUAAAGCUGUUAUAUUUUCCCAUCAUUGAGGACUGGACAUUAGGUGUGGUCCUCUUCACAGAAGAUGUGAACGUAAAUGAAAUAACAUCUGUGCCAUUUUUCCUGUUUCGUCCGGCUUUGGUCAAGCUUCCAUCUAAUGCAAUAUUACAAUUUAAAGACCUGUCAUCUCCAUUAAAUGUUACAUUGUCAGAAACACAUCUGUCAGUUUGGCAAUCACCAUUUACAGACUGUUUCUUCCGACAUAAAUUAUUUGGUUUCUCCUUUUCAGAAUUUGUAGCCACAGAGCGCACCUUUCUGGACAUAGAUUCAGGAUUUAAAACAACUUUAGUUACUGUCCUACUUUGCCCAACUGAACCACUCAUGGAAUGAACUUUUCUGCCUGCCUGGUUAGAAACUGAAUUCUUCAAAGUUGAACUCUCUUUACCAGAUAGACAAUUUUGCUUCUGUUUAUUCUGCCUGAGCACAUUGCUAGUCCUUCCUUCAGAAGUUCUCUUGCUUUUUGGUGUACUGGGCAGGCUCUUUAGUGGCUGGUUAGACCUGAUUUCCUUUUCCUCCUGCUUAUUGUUGUUAUUUCUAGAUGUUGCUCCCUCCCUUCUCUGAAGAUUGGACUUUGCUUGUACUGAAAGCGAAACUGAUUUUCCCUUAUUCUUUAAACCAUUAGAAGCAGGUUCUUCAGAAAACAUCAAAGUGUUGCAUGAUGGCAUGCCUUGGGACCCACUCUGACUCCUGUCACCAUGCUUUGCUUUUGUAUCCUUGGCAGCAAACGAUUCACUUGAUCUUUGAGGCUUAGACAUAUGUGCCGCUUCCAUUUUCUGUUUCAAAUCCCAAAUUCUCAAUGGAACUGAAGGCAUCCCGCUAGAUGGCACUUUACCAUUUACAGUUGCCUUAGGACUUGCCUCAAUUAUCUUUGCAGCUGCCUCCAUUAUGUAAGCCACAUUCUUUGUUGGGAUGAAUCCAGGUGUCUUGAUUGGAGACAACAGCUUAUGGUGGGUGAUAGGAAUUGAUUUAGCUGAUUUUGGCGGCAAUAUUUCAGUUUGAAAUCUCUCAAUUGGCCGGUUCUGCCCCUUUUGUGACCUUGAUACCAAAGAAUACCCUUCCUGGUUACUGGAAAUGUUAAGGCAGUCCAAGGGAUUAUACUCACUCCAUAAAUUAGGGGUACUCCUACCAUAUUGAGAUGCCCCAAGUAAAGCAGAAUCAUAAAAAGGACUAGAAGAGGGCUCAGCGACAUUUGAUGCUGGCAAAGAAUCCAAUCCCAUAAGUCUAGCAACCACCCCAGGUGCUUUAGUUCCAUAUCCUUCAUCACUAGUAACUGAUGAAGCGCAACUAAAGUCACUACCCCCUUUGUUGUUUGAAUUUGCUCUUCUAUCAUCCACCUUUGUCGCAUGAAGCUGUGGUUUAGCCAUAGUUUCAAUAUUUUCCUUUCCUUGCUUUGAUCCUUCUACAAUCACUGUGAGGGGGAAAAUCAGAUAAUUCAGAAUUAUUCACGAACAGCUUCUUAUGUGACUUCCCAUUCCAAUCAAAGAAGUGAAAAAAGAUUCCCUUUGAACGCUUUCUCUCCCCCUCCAUUAUCUCAUCUAAAACCCAAAAUCACUUUGCAAUGUUUAUAAUAACUAAAAUACAUAAAAGCCUCAUUAGACUGAUCAUUUCAUAAUCACAGAAAGGCGUUUGAAUAGAGAAUGUGAUCAGUAAUAAGAAUAACCUCCAUUACAUCAUCUUCUAUAUAUCUCAAACCCACCUUAGCUUAUUACAAAACUAUAUCAACAAAAAAAGACCAAACAAAACCCAUAGGGCAAUUUGGACAAGUUACUGUCACAUAUCGAUUUGAAAAUUGCCAAAGAAGUUCAAAUAGAAGAAUGAGAUUAAAAAUUAGAAGAAAUUAUGACAGUUUCAGAUCAUACCAACGCCUAAUUUUAGCUACAUUGCUCAUUCAGCUAGGUAAAUCAAAUCGUUCUAAUCCAACAUAGACAAAAUUCAAAGAUUAACGAGGCAUAAAUGAAUAAUUUCGUUGAACUGGGUAUUCCUUUACGUGAACCACCAGAGAAAAGGAGAGAAAAAGAGAGAGAAACAGAGAAUCCAAAGAGCUUGACCCAUAUCAACCAAAAGCUUACCUGAGAUAAUCGAAUGCAGGACACCAGAAGCUCGUUCUUUUUGCUUCUCGUAGAAACAGAAAUCAUCCAAAACUCAUCUGCUUAGAGCCAGCAAGCAUAAUGAAGUAUCCAAAAACAACUAAAAUCAAUGGGUAGUCUUGAAAUGAACAAAAGGCACAAACUUUAAACCAUUUCAAUCAAUCGUUCAGUCACUCAAUAUUCACAUAACCCCAUUCUUCAACUUCAAGCACUAAACUUUUUAUCAACUUACUCCUGGAACUUCACAGACAGACGCACAGAGGAGAAGAACUAAUGUCCAAAGAUAUGAAAUUAGGGUUCAACAGAAAAAAGCGAAAAAAACUCAAAAAGAGCCAAAAAAUGGUGACAUUAGCAGAUACAGAGAUUUCGGGUACGUAAGAAAUGGUCUUAAAAAUGCAGUAAAAGGAUCGGCCGGUUAAUAAGUGUAAAAUGUGUCAGUAACGGAGAGAAUGAAAGAGCAAU
rnacentral:misc_RNA from 1 species